rnacentral:rRNA from 1 species
CUUGCUACUUUGCCGGCGAGCGGCGGACGGGUGAGUAAUGUCUGGGGAUCUGCCUGAUGGAGGGGGAUAACUACUGGAAACGGUAGCUAAUACCGCAUGACCUCGAAAGAGCAAAGUGGGGGACCUUCGGGCCUCACGCCAUCGGAUGAACCCAGAUGGGAUUAGCUAGUAGGUGGGGUAAUGGCUCACCUAGGCGACGAUCCCUAGCUGGUCUGAGAGGAUGACCAGCCACACUGGAACUGAGACACGGUCCAGACUCCUACGGGAGGCAGCAGUGGGGAAUAUUGCACAAUGGGCGCAAGCCUGAUGCAGCCAUGCCGCGUGUGUGAAGAAGGCCUUCGGGUUGUAAAGCACUUUCAGCGAGGAGGAAGGCAUUGUGGUUAAUAACCGCAGUGAUUGACGUUACUCGCAGAAGAAGCACCGGCUAACUCCGUGCCAGCAGCCGCGGUAAUACGGAGGGUGCAAGCGUUAAUCGGAAUUACUGGGCGUAAAGCGCACGCAGGCGGUUUGUUAAGUCAGAUGUGAAAUCCCCGCGCUUAACGUGGGAACUGCAUUUGAAACUGGC